rnacentral:rRNA from 1 species
AUACGUAGGGAGCGAGCGUUGUCCGGAAUGAUUGGGCGUAAAGGGCGCGUAGGCGGCGCGGUAAGUCUGGAGUGAAAGUCCUGCUUUCAAGGUGGGAAUUGCUUUGGAUACUGCCGCGCUUGAGUGCAGGAGAGGUUAUCGGAAUUCCCGGUGUAGCGGUGAAAUGCGUAGAGAUCGGGAGGAACACCAGUGGCGAAGGCGGGUAACUGGACUGCAACUGACGCUGAGGCGCGAAAGUGUGGGGAGCAAACAGGAUUAGAUACCCUGGUAGUCCACACUGUAAACGAUGAAUGCUAGGUGUAGGGGGUAUCGACCCCUUCUGUGCCGCAGUCAACACAAUAAGCAUUCCGCCUGGGGAGUACGGCCGCAAGGUUGAAACUCAAAUGAAUUGACGGGG